GCAUUGGAAGUAAUUUUUCGCAUAGCGUUAUUGCUCAUAUCCUUUAUGUUUCUGGUUGCCUCAUCCAUAGCGUCUUUUAACUGUCUCAUUGUCAACGAAUUUUUCCUUGCAUGGUUUCGUCGAAGAGUUUCUUGAAUCACUCCCAUUUGUUUUUCCAUGGACUUCAACUGGUUCAUAACAUGGUUCAUUGGGUUUGCUCCCAUCAUCAUUGGAUUAGCCCGUUCAUUGAGAUUACGAGAUUCAAGAUUCUGUAAGGUAAAACAUAAGUAAUAAAAAUAAAAAAAACUUGGAUAGAUAUGGAUUGGAUGAAAGCUCCAGUUGAAAGUCAAAGUUGUUAAUCGAAAGGAAUUUCUGAAACCACUUUUUUGUGAAAAUAACAAUUGGAACAAUCGCAGUUACGAUGAGAAAUUUGAUUAAGUUUGCUCAGUCAGGUAACGAACAUGUGCAUGGAAAUUCACUUGACUAUAUAAUUUAACCAUUUAGACCCAUCUGCUUCUUUUACUGAACAGGCAAUCAUAACUCGCAUUGAACUUCACUGCAGCAAAAAUGCAAAGCCCAUCAUAUCCAACCAAUAAGAUCAGGUAGAGAUCGAGUUGAAAUUUUUUUGACUCAAUCAUCACACGAACAGGAAUUUCAUUUCUUCAUUGCUUGUUUCAAGCAGUUCUAAUGCGUUUAAUUUCAGAUUUCAGCUGAAAAGGUAGGUUCCAUCUGUUGAAGGAUCUCCAGUUUAACUUGCGAUCAAUGAAACUGGCUCUAUUAUGUUAUCGGGUUUCACAAAUCCUUCAGGUAUUUCCGCGUUCAUUUUAAACUAGUCGCGGACCCUUCGCAAAAUGUGAAAUCGGUAAUGCCUUGUCUUUACAGGCCACAUCUGAUCAAGGUUUUGUCUAAACACGUCCAGUCCGGGUCAAACAGCGUUCAUAAACGUCGAAACCUAAAAAUAAAUUUGAAAAUUGUAAAUUAUUAAAUAAAAAUUCAAAAAUGACUUUUCAGAGACAACAUGUAUGUUUAGAAGGAUAUCACAGAUUUCUUGGUCAUAACAACAAUCUAAUUUGGAAAUACGGGCUAAAGUUCACAAUAUUGGAAAAAACCAAAGUAAAGUAAAUAUGAAGGAUUCAUUUUUAAAUUACACAUGCGAAGUAAAUUCAAACAAUUAUUAAUA